UCACAAGACCGCGAGGUUUAGCAAAUCUCUUAAAGCCGUUCUCAGUUCGGAUUGUAGGCUGCAACUCGCCUACAUGAAGUCGGAAUCGCUAGUAAUCGCGGAUCAGCAUGCCGCGGUGAAUACGUUCCCGGGCCUUGUACACACCGCCCGUCACACCAUGAGAGUUUGUAACACCCAAAGCCGGUGGGGUAACCUUUUGGAGCCAGCCGUCUAAGGUGGGACAGAUGAUUGGGGUGAAGUCGUAACAAGGUAUC
rnacentral:rRNA from 1 species